rnacentral:rRNA from 1 species
GACGAACGCUGGCGGCGUGCCUAAUACAUGCAAGUAGAACGCACAGUUUAUACCGUAGCUUGCUACACCAUAGACUGUGAGUUGCGAACGGGUGAGUAACGCGUAGGUAACCUGCCUGGUAGCGGGGGAUAACUAUUGGAAACGAUAGCUAAUACCGCAUAAUAUUAAUUAUUGCAUGAUAAUUAAUUGAAAGGUGCAAUUGCACCACUACCAGAUGGACCUGCGUUGUAUUAGCUAGUAGGUGAGGUAACGGCUCACCUAGGCGACGAUACAUAGCCGACCUGAGAGGGUGAUCGGCCACACUGGGACUGAGACACGGCCCAGACUCCUACGGGAGGCAGCAGUAGGGAAUCUUCGGCAAUGGACGAAAGUCUGACCGAGCAACGCCGCGUGAGUGAAGAAGGUUUUCGGAUCGUAAAGCUCUGUUGUAAGAGAAGAACGGGUGUGAGAGUGGAAAGUUCACACUGUGGCGGUAUCUUACCAGAAAGGGGCGGCUAACUACGUG